rnacentral:rRNA from 1 species
ACUUUAUGUCCUCUAAAGAGCCGUUCGAGACUAGGACGUUGAUAGGUUGGAUGUGGAAGCAUAGUGAUAUGUGAAGCUGACCAAUACUAAUUGCUCGUGAGGCUUGACUAUACAACACCCAAGCAGUUG